rnacentral:rRNA from 1 species
UACGUAGGGGGCAAGCGUUGUCCGGAAUCAUUGGGCGUAAAGAGCGCGUAGGCGGUCCGGUAAGUCAGCUGUGAAAGUCAGGGGCUCAACCCUUGAAAGCCGGUUGAUACUGUCGGGCUAGAGUCCGGAAGAGGCGAGUGGAAUUCCCGGUGUAGCGGUGAAAUGCGCAGAUAUCGGGAGGAACACCAAUGGCGAAGGCAGCUCGCUGGGACGGUACUGACGCUGAGGCGCGAAAGCGUGGGAGCAACAGG